UGAGCUCUACUCUGACACCUGGUGCAGGGGUUGCAUCUGUGACCAUCUUGAUUACUAGCCAUUGAUGGACCUAUCCACUACGAACUUAUCUAGUGCUUUUUUUCAAACCCAGUUAUACUUUUGACCUGCACAACAUCCCCUGGCAAC